ACGCUAGCGGCAGGCUAACACAUGCAAGCCGAGGGGUAGUCUCUUUCGAGAGAACACGACCGGCGCACGGGUGAGUAACGCGUAUGCAACCUACCUUUGGCACGGGGACAGCCCGGGGAAACCCGGAUUAAUACCCGGUAUAGUCUGUUAUACACCUGUAUAAAAGACGAGAGCUACGGCGGCCAAAGAUGGGCAUGCGUGCCAUUAGUUAGUUGGUAGGGUAACGGCCUACCAAGGCAUCGAUGGCUACGGGGUCUAAAAGGAUGAGCCCGCACACUGGUACUGAGACACGGACCAGACUCCUACGGGAGGCAGCAGUGAGGAAUAUUGGUCAAUGGGUGGAAGCCUGAACCAGCCAUGCCGCGUGCAGGAAGACGGCCUUAUGGGUUGUAAACUGCUUUUCUACGGGACGAACGGCUCUGACGUGUCAGAGAUUGACGGUACCGUAGGAAUAAGCAUCGGCUAACUCCGUGCCAGCAGCCGCGGUAAUACGGAGGAUGCGAGCGUUAUCCGGAUUUAUUAGGUUUAAAGGGUGCGUAGGCUGGGCAAUAAGUCAGUGGUGAAAGUCCGCGGCUCAACCGUGGGAUUGCCAUUGAAACUGUUGUUCUUGAGUACAGUCGAGGUAGGCGGAAUGUGUAAUGUAGCGGUGAAAUGCAUAGAUAUUACCCAGAACACCGAUUGCGUAGGCAGCUUACCAGCCUGGAACUGACGCUGAUGCACGAAAGCGUGGGGAGCGCACAGGAGGAGAUACCCUGGUGAGUCUACGCCGUGGACGAGGAUCACACGCUGUUGGCGACAUAGAGGUCAGCGGCUGAGCGCAAGCACUAAGUGAGACACCUGGGGAGUACGUCGGCAACGAGGAGACUCAAAGAGAAUUGACGGGGGCCCGCACAAGCGCGGGAACACGUGGUUUAAUUCGAUGAUACGCGAGGAACCUUACCGGGGCUUAAAUGUAGCCGGACGAUUCCGGAAACGGGAUUUCCUUAACGGCUGGUUACAAGGUGCUGCAUGGCUGCCGUCAGCUCGUGCCGUGAGGUGUCGGGUUAAGUCCCACAACG
rnacentral:rRNA from 1 species